rnacentral:sRNA from 12 species
AAUGAGACUUCCGCGCCAGCGGCCUGCCGGGAGGCAGGAUAUGGUCGCGCAGGCUGAAAGCUAGGCCUGUGGUGCCAUAU